rnacentral:rRNA from 1 species
UAUACGACCGUACCGCAAACCGACACUGGUGCGCGAGAUGAGUAUUCUAAGGCGCUUGAGAGAACUCAGGAGAAGGAACUCGGCAAAUUGACACCGUAACUUCGGAAGAAGGUGUGCCCUAUUAGUGUGUAGUGAACAACGAAGCAUGAAUGGGUUGCAAAAAAUCGGUGGCUGCGACUGUUUAUUAAAAACACAGCACUCUGCAAACACGAAAGUGGACGUAUAGGGUGUGACGCCUGCCCGGUGCUGGAAGAUUAAAUGAUGGGGUGCAAGCUCUUGAUUGAAGUCCCAGUAAACGGCGGCCGUAACAAUAACGGUCCUAAGGUAGCGAAAUUCCUUGUCGGGUAAGUUCCGACCUGCACGAAUGGCGUAACGAUGGCCACACUGUCUCCUCCUGAGACUCAGCGAAGUUGAAAUGUUUGUGAUGAUGCAAUCUCCCCGCGGAAAGACGGAAAGACCCCAUGAACCUUUACUGUAGCUUUGUAUUGGACUUUGAACAGAUCUGUGUAGGAUAGGUGGGAGGCUUUGAAGCAGGGUCGCUAGAUCUUGUGGAGCCAACGUUGAAAUACCACCCUGGUGUGUUUGAGGUUCUAACCUAGGUCCAUUAUCUGGAUCGGGGACAGUGCAUGGUAGGCAGUUUGACUGGGGCGGUCUCCUCCCAAAGCGUAACGGAGGAGUUCGAAGGUACGCUAGUUACGGUCGGACAUCGUGACGAUAGUGCAAUGGCAUAAGCGUGCUUAACUGCGAGACUGACAAGUCGAGCAGAUGCGAAAGCAGGACAUAGUGAUCCGGUGGUUCUGUAUGGAAGGGCCAUCGCUCAACGGAUAAAAGGUACUCUGGGGAUAACAGGCUGAUACCGCCCAAGAGUUCAUAUCGACGGCGGUGUUUGGCACCUCGAUGUCGGCUCAUCUCAUCCUGGGGCUGUAGCCGGUCCCAAGGGUAUGGCUGUUCGCCAUUUAAAGAGGUACGUGAGCUGGGUUUAAAACGUCGUGAGACAGUUUGGUCCCUAUCUUCCGUGGGCGCUGCAGAUUUGAGGAAGCCUGCUCCUAGUACGAGAGGACCGGAGUGGACACACCUCUGGUGUAUCGGUUGUCACGCCAGUGGCAUUGCCGAGUAGCUAAGUGUGGAAGAGAUAACCGCUGAAAGCAUCUAAGCGGGAAACUCGUUUCAAGAUGAGAUCUGCCGGGGCCUUGAGCCCCCUAAAGAGUCGUUCAAGACCAGGACGUUGAUAGGUCAGGUGUGGAAGCGG